CGGAACGUGCCCAGUCGUGGGGGAUAACGCAGCGAAAGCUGUGCUAAUACCGCAUACGAUCUCUGGAUGAAAGCGGGGGACUCGCAAGGGCCUCGCGCGAUUGGAGCGGCCGAUAUCAGAUUAGCUAGUUGGUGGGGUAAAGGCUCACCAAGGCGACGAUCUGUAGCUGGUCUGAGAGGACGACCAGCCACACUGGAACUGAGACACGGUCCAGACUCCUACGGGAGGCAGCAGUGGGGAAUAUUGGACAAUGGGCGAAAGCCUGAUCCAGCCAUGCCGCGUGUGUGAAGAAGGUCUUCGGAUUGUAAAGCACUUUAAGUUGGGAGGAAGGGCAUUAACCUAAUACGUUAGUGUUUUGACGUUACCGACAGAAUAA
rnacentral:rRNA from 1 species